UGGGGAAUAUUGGACAAUGGGCGGAAGCCUGAUCCAGCCAUGCCGCGUGUGUGAAGAAGGCCUUUUGGUUGUAAAGCACUUUAAGCGAGGAGGAGGCUCUUCUAGUUAAUACCUAGGAUGAGUGGACGUUACUCGCAGAAUAAGCACCGGCUAACUCUGUGCCAGCAGCCGCGGUAAUACAGAGGGUGCAAGCGUUAAUCGGAUUUACUGGGCGUAAAGCGUGCGUAGGCGGCUGAUUAAGUCGGAUGUGAAAUCCCUGAGCUUAACUUAGGAAUUGCAUUCGAUACUGGUCAGCUAGAGUAUGGGAGAGGAUGGUAGAAUUCCAGGUGUAGCGGUGAAAUGCGUAGAGAUCUGGAGGAAUACCGAUGGCGAAGGCAGCCAUCUGGCCUAAUACUGACGCUGAGGUACGAAAGCAUGGGGAGCAAACAGG
rnacentral:rRNA from 1 species